GCCACUGUAGCUUAGCUGAUAGAGCGCCUGGCUCAUAAUCGGGGGGUCGUGGGUUUGAGUCCCACCAGUGGCACCA
rnacentral:tRNA from 1 species